AUUUUGCUUCAUCUCAUCUUUCUCACGAGAAACACUCACUCCUCAACAAAUUAUCCUCGGCAAAUUAUCUCUAGCCAAAACACUUGGAGUUUUUUCUGCUGAAUCUCCCUGCAAACAAACUUUCCUUGCUUUCCCAUUGAAUGUAUGUAAUUGCAUGGUAAUUUUUUUUUAUUUUUUGAGCAAUUAGAUAAUGUUUUUGCUAAAUGUCACCGUAAAGAAGCUGUCCAUUCUUCAAGCUUUCCCAUUACUGCUACCAUUUAUUUAGAGCCAAACAAAACACAAUCCAAUUGCCAAUUGCAAAUUGCAGCAGAUGAGAGGAAAAAAUGCUUCUGUACCUGCACUCGAGUACAACCCCCUUACUUAUAUGUUCGUGUACAUGGCAGCCAAUCACUAUUUUGCAUAUGAGCCAGAGAAGUCCUACUCAACAUAGGAACUUUGCCAUCUUCUAGGAACUGUAAUUGUGAAGAAGGCAUGGGUGCAAUCUAUAUUGGGUGGGUCCUACUAUCAUAGUCAUUUUCCCAUUUACUAGCAGGGUCAAGCUCUAUUACUACAUGUUUGAGAGACCUCAUAUGUAGGUGAUACGCUAGAGCAAGGCAUCCCCAAAAUAUGCUGGAGUGCUAGAUGCGAGUGAGAAACAGUUCACUGUGAGGAUUUGGAGCUUUUUUUUUUCAAUUGGAUGAAGGUAUAUUUGCCUUCUGUAAUUUGCAAAAGCUUGAAGGGAUUUUUUUUAAUUGCUGGGAAGGAGCACAUUCAGCUUACUUGCAAUUUACGAUGGCUAAUCUGGAAGGAUAGAACAAAGCACAGUUUAGUGAAUCCAGAUUAGAUAUGGACAAGGUUGCACAAAAAAGCCACUCAGGAACAGUGAGAAUACAACACGAGGAGUUUGAGCGUAGUGGAAAUGGAACAUAUUGACGUUUGCAUCAAAAGAUGAACUCUGCUGCAACAAUCUGUCCAAUUAAGAACAAGUUAGGAUAUGGGGUAAUUGCAAGCAACUGACCUGGGGAGAUUGUAGAAAGCUGGGCAACAUCAGAAGCAAGUCAAGGCAGCAAGGAUCCUGCAGAAGCUGAAGCUAGCAAAUAUGAUUAACCAAAGCCAUUAAUUUACAAUUACUAAUCUGAUGCUAAAGCUGCAAACAUAGCCGAAGAUAUAUUGGUCUUGAGUCCUCUGUUUUGUAUGUGGUCGGUUUCAAAAGGAUGUAAGGGUUCGGGAAGAGCAAUAGAUAAAACUUUGGGGUUAUUGGAAAAGUGAAGAAGCAAAGAUGGGAUGCUAUAACAGCAUAGUUUUCCUGACACGUUUGAAUGCUACGAGCCUAUCCCCACAUUGGAAGGGACGACACUCGUCCGAGGUGUGAGGAAAGGUCUCAUGAUGCCUUCAUGAAUGGGACUUCUAGUUUCUUGAGCGUGAAACAGGGUUCAAACCAAUUGAUUCGAUGCUUCGCAUUGCCAUUCUGAACUGCUUCGAGCAUUCAUCGUGCCUGCAUUGAAUAUUGAACAACAUCAUUAACCCAUGACUAGAAAUCUCCAGAGUUUGUAACUGUCCUGACUACUGAGUGCAAAUCCAUUCCAAAAGAUGUUAU